rnacentral:misc_RNA from 1 species
CCUACGGGCGGCAGCAGUUGGGAAUCUUGGACAAUGGGGGAAACCCUGAUCCAGCCAUGCCGCGUGAGUGAUGAAGGCCUUCGGGUUGUAAAACUCUUUCGACGGGGACGAUAAUGACGGUACCCGUAGAAGAAGCUCCGGCUAACUUCGUGCCAGCAGCCGCGGUAAUACGAAGGGGGCUAGCGUUGUUCGGAAUUACUGGGCGUAAAGCGCGCGCAGGCGGCUAUCCAAGUCAGUGGUGAAAGCCCGGAGCUCAACUCCGGAACUGCCAUUGAAACUGUUUAGCUUGAGGACGAGAGAGGUGAGUGGAAUUCCCAGUGUAGAGGUGAAAUUCGUAGAUAUUGGGAAGAACACCGGUGGCGAAGGCGGCUCACUGGCUCGUAUCUGACGCUCAGGCGCGACAGCGUGGGGAUCAAACAGGAUUAGAUACCCUGGUAGUC